ACCAGUGUGGCAUAGUGAUUUGAGUGCUAGACUAGGACUCUGGAGACCAAGGUUCAAUUCCCAGCUCAGCCA